GAUGAACGCUAGCGGCAGGCUUAAUACAUGCAAGUCGAGGGGCAGCACGGGUAGCAAUACCUGGUGGCGACCGGCAAACGGGUGCGGAACACGUACGCAACUUUCCCAAAACUGGUGAAUAGCCCUCCGAAAGGAGGAUUAAUACACCGUAACAUAAUGAAGUGGCAUCACUUUAUUAUUAUAGCUCCGGCGGUUUUGGAUGGGCGUGCGCCUGAUUAGGUAGUUGGCGGGUAACGGCCCACCAAGCCUUCGAUCAGUAACUGGUGUGAGAGCACGACCAGUCACACGGGCACUGAGACACGGGCCCGACUCCUACGGGAGGCAGCAGUAAGGAAUAUUGGUCAAUGGACGCAAGUCUGAACCAGCCAUGCCGCGUGAAGGAAGAAGGCGCUAUGCGUCGUAAACUGCUUUUACACCAGAGAAAACCCCUGUACGUGUACGGGGCUGAUAGUACGGUGAGAAUAAGCAUCGGCUAACUUCGUGCCAGCAGCCGCGGU
rnacentral:rRNA from 1 species